GUCCAAUCGUCUUUUAGAAGAAGAGCCCUUUCAUGUCCAGUGCACUCUGUCUGCACUGAAAGGUACAUGAUGGAUUACAUGUUUUCUUUCUUUCCACAGUUGGGAGCUAUUACCUCUUCAAAGUGAUGUGUCCCCUGUUUGAAUAGCUUGUAUGCAAGCAAAAGAUUCUGCUGUAAUCUAGCUCUGCCAGAUGAUGGAGCUAGAGAUGAUGGAGUUGGAGAUGACGGUCUGCUGCUCAUGCUGGAGUGCUCCCAGAUGAUGGAGCUGGAGAUGACGAUCUGCUGCUUAUGCUGAAGUGUUGGAGGAGUCUCAGUGCAUUUGUGCUCCCCAAUUUCCUUGGCCCUUGCUACUCCACAUGCUCUUAUCUCUCUAGCUCUGCUUCCCAGAUUUAAUGGAUUUAGAUAAGGGACUAUCGUUAAAUAUUAUUUGAGAUUGUCCUAGAAAGUUUGAGUACUAAAAGCUUGGAUUCUGUUAUGAUUCUGAGAGAUGGCAAACCCUUUAAGAGGGAGGCCUGGUGUGAGGUGAUUUCAUCAUUGGGGAUGCUGUCCUCUCAUGACCUCAGUUAUCUCUCCCAAGAGCAAACUGGUGUGAAUUCCUCUGGCUUCUCACAGAUGCUCCUAUUGUCACUUGCCACAUGGGAUGUGGACCAAAGAACCUCCCCAGAGCCAAGCACCAGACCUGUGCAUUUGUAGAACAGUGAGUUAAUUUUGAACAGCUAUAUGGUGAACUGAAUGAGUCUCCAAGCCAUGAUCUCACUACUAAAGGCACAUGCUUAACUGUAGGCACUGGCACAGGGAGAGGAAUUCAUUUGUUCCUGAAUCAUAGAAGGGUGAGGUCAAGUGAAGGAACAAGAAAGAUGACGUCUCAGGUGGAGGACACCUACCUACCACUCAGCACUGUCAGCCGAGUUCACGACCUUCACAGCUUCAGUGCAGGCAGAUAACUAACUCUUCCUGGUCUCUGAAGUGAAAACUUUAAGGUUCUUUGGAAAGUCAGCUGUGUUGGAUGGACAAAUGCAUGAAGGAGUAUUUUCCUGAAGUCCACACAAGUGAAAGACUAAGGCAGACUUGUGAAGGAAUGUUUCACUGAAGCAGACACAAGAGAGAGGAUGUUCUGCUAAAGAAAAGAUGUGAAAGGAAGAAGAACAAAGACCAAAAUAUGGACACUUUGCCCCUUCUUAGAAUUGGGAACAAUCACCCAUGGAAGGAGUUACAGAGACAAA
rnacentral:lncRNA from 1 species